GACGAACGCUGGCGGCGUGCUUAACACAUGCAAGUCGAGCGGUAAGGCCCUUUCGGGGGUACACGAGCGGCGAACGGGUGAGUAACACGUGGGUGACCUGCCCUCAGCUCUGGGAUAAGCCUGGGAAACUGGGUCUAAUACUGGAUAUGACUCCACGGUGCAUGUCGGUGGGGUGGAAAGCCUUGUGCGGCUGAGGAGUCGGGCCCGCGGCCUAUCAGCUUGUUGGUGGGGUGANGGCCUACCAAGGCGACGACGGGUAGCCGGCCUGAGAGGGCGGACCGGCCACACUGGGACUGAGACACGGCCC
rnacentral:rRNA from 1 species